rnacentral:snoRNA from 1 species
UCUUCCUACAAAGGCAUGGCUGUGGUUUCCUGUCCUUGGACAUGUAAGAAAUGGAGGCAAAGAAAUGUGGACUUCAAGAAGUCUACAGCCAGCUCACUCCCUGCAGGCUCAAGAUCACCCUCUCCCACACAG